rnacentral:rRNA from 1 species
UACGUAGGUGGCAAGCGUUAUCCGGAAUUAUUGGGCGUAAAGAGCGCGCAGGUGGUUGAUUAAGUCUGAUGUGAAAGCCCACGGCUUAACCGUGGAGUGUCAUUGGAAACUGGUCGACUUGAGUGCAGAAGAGGGAAGUGGAAUUCCAUGUGUAGCGGUGAAAUGCGUAGAGAUAUGGAGGAACACCAGUGGCGAAGGCGGCUUCCUGGUCUGUAACUGACACUGAGGCGCGAAAGCGUGGGGAGCAAACAGGAUUAGA